CCUGACCCCUGGUCAGAGAUGAGAACCCUCCUUUCAGCUUCCAUGGCCUCCUGCACUUCUCUCUCCCACAGCCCUUGCGCUACAGGGUUGUAACUGUCCACUGACCCAUCUGUCGACUUCACUUGGCCCUGAGCUUUGGUCCCAGGAAAUCCAGCUUUCCUUGAGACGUCUCAGUGGCAUGCCCUAAGAAGCCCCAGCCACAUGGAGAGACCAUGGGAGAAGAGUGAGAUGCUCCAGUCAACAGACCCAGUUGAGCCUUCAGCUGCUACCAGGACCAACAAGCAGCGUGGAUACUGCAAUUAAGGCCCAGAGAAGACCAUUUCCAGGGUCAAGAUCCACCAAUUGUCAGGCCGGAACCCCGGUCUCUUGGCACCAACUCCAGGUCUUUUUCUGUCACCCCGUCUUUCCUCACUGGUGAUGGUUCUCAGGAGCAGGGUGGAGGUGGGCCUUGUGUGUGUGUGUGUUUCUGGGAGUCUGGCCCAGGGUGGGG
rnacentral:lncRNA from 1 species